UUUUAUAUGUUGAUAUAUUAGAGAAACUAAAUAAGGGUGCUCGAAACACCCUAAACCCCUUAUAUAGGAAAUGAACUCUAACCUAGAACUUGAAAGCUCACCUUCUCACCCAAUAAGGUGUAAACUAGGUAGAUGUUAUAUGAAACUAGGGGUGGCCACAGUCCGAUUUCAAGUCAGAGUCGAACUGGAACCGGUUCAGUUAAAAUCAGACUGAAACUAG
rnacentral:misc_RNA from 1 species